GCGGUUUAUUAAAUAUAUGUUAACUUUUGUGUUAGACGUCCGAAUUAUUCCGCUUGAGCUCCAUUAUAAGGCCGUGCGAAUGUUAAAAACAUUAUUCUAUCGCAACACAUGUUUAUGUUUAGUUAAUAAUUAUUUAUUCGACGCUUAUAAAAAUAGCAAUCUAAAUAAAACUAAUUUAUAAUUUACGCUUUAUAAACAUAUGUUAAUAUGAUUAACGUCAACUCAAACGUUUUGAUUUAAAUACUUAUUUAAUGUAGAUAUGAAAUCUGUUAUUAAUUCUCGCAUGCCACUUUUGUUCUAAAUUAAUAAUUUAGACGCUUCGAAUUCUAUGUAACAUAGAUAUAACUUGUCGAGCUUUAAAAUGGGACUUCUACUCAAAUUAUGAUUCAGAUUAAAUCUAAAUUAGAUAUUAUUCUGAAAUAUCUUUCAUAUAUGUUUUAUAUUAAUUGAAAUCAACUUAGGAAUAUAGGUUUAUGUGCUAGUAAUAUUAUUUUGUCGUAAUACAUGUUUUCGUUAAUUAUCCAGUAUCGUUUAUCCGAGGUUUAUUUAAGCGACAUUCUAAUUAAAAUUAAUGUAUAGUUUUAAAAUUAUGAUUUAUAGACACAAGUUAAUGUGGUUAGUACCAACUCAGAUGUUUUCAACUAAUAUUUGUUUAAUAUAAAU
rnacentral:lncRNA from 7 species